GAACUGUGGAAGCAAAGUUGGAAGUCAGCCCAUUAUUGAGGCCAGCACUAAUAUUACUUCAGGUCCUUUUGAACUAAAAAGAGACGUUUCUGCAUAUUCUUCUUCUUCAGCUUUCUCAAGGACAUCAAAAGUGUGGACACUUCUGGCAGUAUUCGUCCUACUGGUGACAUCACUGUAAUGUUCGGAAGAAUGCAACAAAUCUUAAUGAUGAAAUUUUCAACUGCUUUUCACUUCCUCUGAAAUAAAAUGAUUAUCCUUUCCCAUAAUUUUGGUUUCAUUCUCAGGUUUUCAAUAUAGUCAAUAUAACAAUGCUGAAGGCCAUAAAUCUAGCCUCAAAGCUACAGUGUAACAUGUCAUAGCACCAUUGCAGAACUUGCAGUACUCCUGGAAUCAUUGAAUUCAAACUGAUUGUUUGGCUUCAUUAAUAAAUCAGGAAAUAUGCACAUUAAUUGUAAUAAAUGGUUGAGAUAGGUGACAAAAAAGAUGCAGAUAUUGACAACUGAUUCUGAUUUUCCUCGUGCAAAAUUAUGCUUUAUUCCAUAGCUAUUUAAUGAUAUGUAUAUAAAAUGGGUAUAGAAUAUCUGAGUAAAAUAAUGAAAUCAAUAGACAAUUUCCACUGCCCUGAUAAUGUUUAAAGGUUUAAUCUCACCCCCCCCCACACACACAUAUAGAUAGAUGUGUGUGUGUGUGUGUGUGUGUGUGUGUGUGUGUGUGUGUGUGUGUGUGUGUACAAAUAUAGCACAUCCAUAUAUCAAAUUGGAAAAAAGUUGAACAGACCUGUAACAGGAAAAAUAAUUUUGUGGCACUUGGACUGACAUAGUACACUGUAAAAUGAAACAUCUAGGACAGCUUGAUUAUAAUUUGCACAGAGCUAUAGUUUAGGUUCAAGCAGAACAUGAUUUAAAUGUGUUGUUUUCAAUUUAAUUGCUCAAAUUUAGCAGUGCUCUAUUUCAAUUAUAAAGACAUGCUUAAAAAAUAUGUCAUAAUUAUCAAAUUAAAUAUUCUGUGAAUAUCUUGCAAAUAAGUUAAUGUUACUGAUUUUUUUAAACUAACACAAACUCUUUGGCUUAUACUGCUCUCUUCUACAGGAAAAAGAAAAUACCUUGAAAUUCUCCUGCCACUAAACUAGUGUACAAAAAAUAGAGGUUUAAGUGACUGUCAAAGUUUUAAAGAGUAUUUGUUCUAGUAUUACAUGUUCAGGAAAUUAAAUUAAAAUGUGCUUUGUGCAGUUAAUCAAAAGGUUGCCAUGUACAAUUUUUCAUAAGCUACUCAGAUUCUGUGUGCUCCCUGUUUUCUGCUACUAUAAUGAACACCAAAGGCAUUUACCAAAUGUCCACAUAUUUAAAAGGUAAAGAUGCUGAAAUCUGUACUGUUAGCACCUUCUCCAAAUGCACAUAUGAGCUUGCCAUCAUUUUACAGCAGCAUCUUCUUUUCCUACCACCAUCAAUUAAUCCCAUCUUUUGGACAACAUCUUUGCUUUAGAUAUAUAUCCUACUUUCUUUCUGAAAGUAUUUUGAGAAAUUUGCUUCAUGCACUGUUUUCAAAGAUUUUCUUAUUAUUACAGUCACAAGGAAUGAAUAACAGUUGCAUGAGAUUUCCUUUAUAGUUGCUGAAUAAAUGGUUGGAGGAGUCAAUCUUCAGAAUUAAAAGUAAUAUGUAGAGAAGCUUGUAUAAACACAAGAUUAUGACAAUGCUCUGUACCUAGUUUAGGUUGGUUAAUUUGUUAUUCAUCAUUUACAUUUAGUGUUUGUAAUGUACUUUACCAUAAGCUGCUCUGUACAAUAUCAUUAGAAAAAAUAAGAACGUGGGUUGAUCAGUAACAUAAAUGAAUGUUAAUAAGUGAGCAUAACCAUAAUAUUGUUUAACCUGUUGAAACCAAAGUUCUUUACAUGUUCCACUUUAUCUGUAGACCUUUUGAAUUCACUUAUAUAUCCAAUAAAUGGUCAUUCCUUACAGCA